GACGAACGCUGGCGGCGUGCCUAACACAUGCAAGUCGAACGGGGUCCAUGGGAGCUUGCUCCCGGAAGACCUAGUGGCGAACGGGUGAGUAACACGUGAGAAACCUGCCCUGGAGUGGGGAAUAACUCGGGGAAACUCGAGCUAAUACCGCAUACCCUCGGAUGGUCGCAUGGCCGACCGAGGAAAGAUUCAUCGCUUCAGGAGGGUCUCGCGGCCUAUCAGCUAGUUGGUGGGGUAACGGCCUACCAAGGCAACGACGGGUAGCUGGUUUGAGAGAACGAUCAGCCACACUGGGACUGAGACACGGCCCAGACUCCUACGGGGAGC
rnacentral:rRNA from 1 species